rfam:Triticum aestivum genome assembly, contig: Triticum_aestivum_CS42_TGACv1_scaffold_223088_3B
AGUGUACUCCCUCCGUCCGGAAAUACUUGUCAGUCAUCAAAAUGGAUAAAAGAGGAUGUAUCUAGAUGUAUCUAGAUGUAUUUUAAUUAUGUAUACAUCUUUUUUUAUCCAUUUUGAUGACAAGUAUUUUCAGACGGAGGGAGUAUCAU